rnacentral:rRNA from 1 species
AACGAACGCUGGCGGCAGGCCUAACACAUGCAAGUCGAACGAACCUUCGGGUUAGUGGCGCACGGGUGAGUAACACGUGGGAAUCUACCUUUGAGUUGGGAAUAACCAUUGGAAACGAUGGCUAAUACCCAAUACGUCCUUCGGGAGAAAGAUUUAUCGCUCAGAGAUGAGCCCGCGUCCAAUUAGCUAGUUGGUGAGGUAAGAGCUCACCAAGGCGACGAUUGGUAGCUGUUCUGAGAGGAAGAUCAGCCACACUGGUACUGAGACACGGACCAGACUCCUACGGGAGGCAGCAGUGGGGAAUAUUGGACAAUGGGGGAAACCCUGAUCCAGCCAUGCCGCGUGAAUGAUGAAGGCCUUAGGGUUGUAAAGUUCUUUCAACGGUGAAGAUGAUGACGGUAGCCGUAGAAGAAGCCCCGGCUAACUCCG